rnacentral:rRNA from 1 species
GAUGAACGCUGGCGGCGUGCCUAAUACAUGCAAGUCGAGCGAACAGACGAGGAGCUUGCUCCUCUGACGUUAGCGGCGGACGGGUGAGUAACAUGUGGAUAACCUACCUAUAAGACUGGGAUAACUUCGGGAAACCGGAGCUAAUACCGGAUAAUAUAUUGAACCGCAUGGUUCAAUAGUGAAAGACGGCUUUGCUGUAUCUUAUAGAUGCAUACGCGCCGCGUUACCUAGUUGGUAAGGUAUCGGCUUACCAAGGCGACGAUGCGUAACCGACCUGAGAGGGUGAUCGGCCACACUGGAACUGACACACGGUCCAGAGUCCUACAGAGGCAGCAGUAUGUAAUCUGCCGCAAUAGGCGAGAGCCUUACAGAGCGACGCCGCGUGAGUGAUGAAGGUCUUCGGAUCGUGAAGCUCUGUUAUUAGGGAAGAACAAAUUUGUAAGUAGCUAUGCACGUCUUGACGGUACCUAAUCAGAAAGCCACGGCUAACUACGUG